UAUUGCACAAUGGGGGAAACCCUGAUGCAGCGACGCCGCGUGAGUGAUGCAGUAUCUCGGUCUGUAACGCUCUAUCAGCAGGGAAGACAAUGACGGUACCUGAUUAAGAAGCCCCGGCUACCUACGUGCCAGCAGCCGCGGUAAUACGUAGGGGGCAAGCGUUACCCGGAUUUACUGGGUGUAAAGGGAGCGUAGACGGCAGCACAAGUCUGGAGUGAAAUGCCGGGGCUUAACCCCGGAACUGCUUUGGAAACUGUGCAGCUAGAGUGCAGGAGAGGUAAGUGGAAUUCCUAGUGUAGCGGUGAAAUGCGUAGAUAUUAGGAGGAACACCAGUGGCGAAGGCGGCUUACUGGACUGUAACUGACGUUGAGGCUCGAAAGCGUGGGGAGCAAACAG
rnacentral:rRNA from 1 species